UUUUUUUGAGAGAGAUAGGUAGCACGCUACUCGAUUCGCUUCGUUUAUUUUAUUUAAAAAUAAACUUAACUGGAAAUAUGAAUCAACUAGAAUUCGAACUUGGGUCUCGAGUACCAAUCACCAAGUCCUUUGCCACUUGCUCUAGGAACAGUCGGUAAUAAUAUGAGUUUUUUAAUACUUUUAGAAGUAUCCUUUAGUCUUUUUAUGAGAAUUAUGAGUGAGUUA
rnacentral:lncRNA from 1 species